AUUGAACGCUGGCGGCAGGCCUAACACAUGCAAGUCGAGCGGAUGAAGGGAGCUUGCUCCUGGAUUCAGCGGCGGACGGGUGAGUAAUGCCUAGGAAUCUGCCUGGUAGUGGGGGAUAACGUCCGGAAACGGGCGCUAAUACCGCAUACGUCCUGAGGGAGAAAGUGGGGGAUCUUCGGACCUCAUGCUAUCAGAUGAGCCUAGGUCGGAUUAGCUAGUUGGUGGGGUAAAGGCCUACCAAGGCGACGAUCCGUAACUGGUCUGAGAGGAUGAUCAGUCAAAAAGGAAAUGAAAAACGGACCAGGCCCCGAAGGGGGGCAGAAGGGGGGAAAAUUGAAAAAGGGGCGAAAGCCUAAUCCAGCCAGGGAGGGGGGGAGAAAAAGGAACUCGGAUUGUAAAGCACUUAAAGGUGGGGGGAAGGGAAGUAAGUAAAAACCUUGGUGUUUUGACGUCACCAAAAGAAUGAAGACCGGCUAAAUUCGU
rnacentral:rRNA from 1 species